rnacentral:tRNA from 1 species
GAAGUUAUAGCUUAGUGGUACAGAAUGUGCUUAGCAUGCACCAGGUCCUAGGUUCAAACCUCAGUACCUUCA